rnacentral:rRNA from 1 species
CCGAAUUCGUCGACAACCUGGUUGAUCCUGCCAGUAGUCAUAUGCUUGUCUCAAGGAUUAAGCCAUGCAUGUGUAAGAUCGGCAUAGGCAUUUGGGGAAGUGAGUUUCGGCUCAUGACCUCUUGUUCAUUGUUAAUCUGUGAAAGGCUCAUUAAACAAGUUAUGAAUUUAGCCACCUGGAACAACCCUUCGGGGAUUGGAAUAACACUGUCAACUGCAGCGAUAAUGCCUACGAUUACUGUUGAAUUAAGUAGACAGUAGACACUAGAGUUUGGGUGAGUCCGCUCUAUUGUUAGCUGGGAUGGCCUGGAGAUUCGUCAAAGGGCUUGAACAGUUGUCGACCAUUAGAUUUCCUAUUUGUUUCGGCAAGUGGGAUGCAGCAUGAAUGACUUAGUGUCCUAAUAAGACCUAUGGCUUUCUUGUUGACUAGUGGCCAGGAAGAUAUGUUUCUAAUCUAUCAGCUCCGUAGUUUUGGUAAAGGCGAAACAUGGCUAUCACGGAUACGGGGGAUUGGUGUCCAACUCCGGAGAGAGAGCCUGAGAAACGGCUAUCACAUCUAAGGACGGCAGCAGGCGCGUAAAUUACCCAAUCCUAAUUCAGGGAGGUAGUGACAAGACAUAGCGACUUUACACCAAAUGGUGGAAAGGUACCACUUUGUGGUUUGAAAUGGAUGGAGAUUAAACCUCUCCAUGAGUAGCAAUUAGAGGACAAGUCUGGUGCCAGCACCCGCGGUAAUUCCAGCUCUAAAAGUGUAUAUUAAUACUGUUGUAGUUAAAACGCCCGUAGUAUACCAAAGGGCUAUGACUGUUGAUCUGGCCAGUUCUGUCCAUCGUGGUCGGUCACGUAUUGUGAUUGAUUGGUUGGGCAAGGACUGGUCCUUCGGUCUCUAAAUAAGAGCGAACGGAUUCCAAGUAGCUCUUAUCAAAGGGAUAGGUCAAUAGUUGUGGCUCGCUCCCUGCCAGUCUUCGGAUUGGUAGGGCCUAUUGGCACAACCGUAAACAAAUCAGAGUGCUCCAGGCAGGCAAUGUUUGGGGGUAACCCCGUUUGCUUGAAUGAUUUAGCAUGGAAUUGUCACGAAGCCGAACCGAAACCUCGAGGGYUCGCCUGAGAGGUGGAAGUCCCGGCGCUCGUAAUGAGACACAGGUAGAGGAUCCAAGUACUAUGGCGCGAGAGGUGAAAUUCAGUGACCGCCAUAUGACUGUCUAAUGCGAAAGCAGUUGUGAUCCAGAACGUGUCUGUCAAUCAGGGACGAAAGUUAAGGGAUCGAAGAUGAUUAGAYACCGUCGUAGUCUUAACCGUAAACGAUACCAACACGAGAUUGGUAGCGAAACCAUUAUUAGAUCCUGUCAGAAUCCAAGGGAAACCGUUAAGUCUUUGGGUUCUGGGGGGAGUAUGGUCGCAAGGCUGAAACUUAAAGGAAUUGACGGAAAGGCACCACCAGGAGUGGAGUAUGCGGCUUAAUUCGACUCAACGCGGGGAAACUCACCAAGUUAGGAUGUGAAUAUGAUUGACAGAUUAAGGUUCUUUCUUGAUUUUACAGAAGGUGGUGCAUGGUCGUUCUUAGUUCGUGGAGUGAUUCGUCUUGUUAAUUCAGUUAACGAGCGAGACCUUAACUUACUAAUUAAGGUACAGGAGCUUUCUUCGGAUUGCUCAUCGUUUCAUAGGAAGGGUGUAUGCCCUUCCGGGAAACCUGUACAUAUCACUGGUUCGCCAGUGAUUACUUCUUAGAGGUACAGCACCCGCUCCAUAGGGUGAGGAAGUUUAAGGCAAUAACAGAUCUGUGAUGCCCUUAGAUAUCUUGGGCUGCACGCGUACUACAAUAUUAAUAGCAACAAGUAACGUAAAGUUCAUCUUUCGGGAUGACAACCCUGGUCCGAAAGGAUUGGGAAAUCUUAUCAAAGAUUAAUGUGACAGGGAUCGAGGUUUGUAAAUCCUCGUGAACGAGGAAUUCCUAGUAAGCAUGAUUCAUCAUGUCGUAUUGGCUUCGUCCCUGCCUUUUGUACACACCGCCCGUCGCUCGUACCGACUGAAUAGAGGUAUGAAUUUGAUGGACUAGCAGUAGUCUACUACAACGCGAGAAAAUCAACUGAAUUUCUCUAUUUGUAGGAACGAGAAGUCGUAACAAGGUCUUCGUAGGUGAACCUGCAGAAGGAUCAAGCUUGGAUCCCGGG